rnacentral:rRNA from 1 species
UACAGGGGGGGCAAGCGUUGUUCGUAAUUACUGGGCGUAAAGGGUUUGUAGGUGGCUUGCUUAGUCAGACGUGAAAUCCCUCAGCUUAACUGGGGAACUGCGUCUGAUACUGGCGAGCUUGAGUGCAGGAGAGGAACGCGGAAUUCCAGGUGUAGCGGUGAAAUGCGUAGAGAUCGGCAGGAACACCCAGGGGGAAACCAGUCGACUGGGCAGCACCUGACGCUGAGGUGCGAGAGCGUGGGGAGCGAACCGG